CAGUUCAGUGGUUGCCUACAAAAGCAAUAGCUUGCGAAAAUAAGCGGGUGUAACAUUUCAUGCGUAAGUACAACUUUUUCGUAUUUUGAUCAUGUAUUUCUUUCUCAAAUCUCACAGGAACCAAGUUACUGAGUUACAUCAUUAGUUGGAUUAUGAAAAACUUGAUAAAAUAGGAGAUAUCAGUAAAUUAUUGCUAAAAAUAAAACAGAAAGUUUGGUUAUGUAAACCAGUCAAAUUCAGUAGUAUUUUAUUUAGGGUUGCAAACAAAUAGAAAAAAAAGUCCCCUGCAAUUACCCCAUAUUUCGGGAGUUUCAAGCUAUUUGAUAUUUCCAGCUUUCCGACGGAGGAUGAAAUUGUUAAAGAAUGGAUUGCGGGAACUGGAAAAUCAAAUUGGAUGCCUCACAAAUACUCGCGUAUUUGUUCCAAACAUUUUGAACAACAUUGUGUCCGCAAACUGGGCAAACGAACUUUCAUCGAAAAGUUUUCUUUUCCAACCUUGUUCAUACACGAGAGGAGAGAGAACAUUCUUUUCUUCAUCAUGUCAUGGAAAUCGUCCAUUCGUGCACGUCGUCGUCGUGGCAGUCUCAACAGCAUUCUGAAGCUAUUUUUGAACUUCAUAUAAUUGAUCCACAUGUUACAAGUGUAUGUGUAAAUAAAGUUUUCUUGACCCCCACAGUAUGUACAACGCGCAACACGUAAGAUUUUUUAUUUAAACAUAAAUAUUCGGUUUUAAGUAACAGUUUUAAUGUAAAUGACCAUGUUAGCUUAAAAUCAUAUACUGCGUAUCUACUGAGGUGUCGCUCAAGCACACCGUCAAGAACCUUCGCUGCAAUAGGGUUGUUUCCAUUUUGAAAUGCUUGUAUUAUAUAAUAUAUAUAUAUAUUACCAAAUUAUGGCCUAAAAUUCAAUUUAUUUGUGUUGUUCUCAAGUAAAAGGUACCACAUUGUCGCUUAUCAUAAGAACGCUCUUACAGGUUGUACGUAUAGAGAGCAAGCAAAUUGUAUCCUUAUGGUAAGCGACUAUGUGGUACCUUUUACUUGAGAACGACACAUUUAAUUAUUAUUUCUAGUAAGUACAGUUAUAAUAAUAUAAGUUUUGAAUAAAGAAAUUACCUCUUUUGAUA